GGGAGGGUGGCUAGCUGUUUCACCUCCAAGCUUCAAAACCAUGUUUACCAUGUAGCUAGGUUGUCCUUGUACAAGGUGUCCAACGAUAAUACACUUCAACACUUCAUUUGGAUUUGGAUUGCAUUGAUUCCAUUGGUUGUCUUUGCCAAGAAGUCUUCUGCAGCAACUCUUAUCGUUUCUAACUCUUGGGUUGCACCUCUCCGCAUCUGAAGUUCUAUAUAUGUUUCAAUGUUUGUUGGUUGUUUUCUGUGUUAUCAUGAUACGAUAAGUGAUGGAUAAGCAUUGGUGUUGAUAUUAUAAUGUUUGAAACGAAAAGAUAUA